GCUGCUCGCCUCGGCAGCACAUACUAAAACUGGAGUGCUACAGACAAGAUUAGCAUGGCCCCUGCACAAGGACGAGAUGCAAAUCCGUGAAACGUUCCAUAUAUAG
ensembl:snRNA U6 U6 spliceosomal RNA